UGUAAAUUUUUAUUAGAAUAACAUAUAUACAUUACCUAAAAUACUAUCAAAACAUUAUUACAUUUAGUAAAGGUGAUUAAAAAUUAUUAUUUAUUUUGAAGAAGUACUGUAAAGGAAAAUUUUAAACUAUAAUAAAGAAGAAAUCAGAAUUCGUACCUUUUGUAUCAUGGUUUAACUAGACUUAUAUUAAGUAUUUAGUUUCUCGAAAUCUAACGAGCGAUCCUUAUUUAUUAUGUUAGUAAUUAAGAACUAGUUGUGGCAAAAAUUUUUCUAAAAUUGAGGAUAGAAAUGAAAUUUUAUUCGCGUUAGAUGAUAGCUAGUUCUCCGCUAAAGGCAUAAAAGUGCUUUAAACCUAAAAAUUUGUAGUUGGUAAUGUUUAUUACUAAGUAUCAUAUGGUUUAGAUAAAUUCUUGAGGAUAAGCUCAAAAAUGCACUCAGAUGUAUAAAAAAUUUGUUAUUGAAUUUAAGCUUGAAAAUAGCUAUAAUUUAGAUUUUGUUAUAAUAUCACAAAAUGUCCAUAAAUAUAAUUAGUAUACUUAUAUUUUACAAGCGGAGAAAAUUCAAAAACUUAAAAUUGAAUUAUAUUCAUGUUAAAAUGAGUAUUAUAUAAGUUAUGAUUCUUAGUUGAAUUAAUAAAAAUAAGUGUUAAAGAAUUAUUUAGUCUUUAAAAUUGUAAAAAGGAACUCGGCAAAUCUAUAUUCUGCCUGUUUAUCAAAAACAUGGCUCCUUGUAAAACUUAAAUAGGGAGUCUGACCUGCCCAGUGAAAGUUUUUAACGGCCGCGGUACUCUGACCGUGCAAAGGUAGCAUAAUCAUUUGCCUUAUAAUUGAAGGCUGGUAUGAAUGGUUUGACAAGAAUAUAGCUGUCUCUUUACAAUUUGCUAGAAUUUUAUCUAUAAGUGAAGAAGCUUAUAUAAAAUUGAAAGACAAGAAGACCCUAUCGAGCUUUAAAAAAAUUAGUAGACUAAAAAAUUAUUUUAUAAAACAACAAUCUACUAAACAUUUUAGUUGGGGCGACUGAGGAACAAAAAAAGCUUCCUUUAAAGAUUUGUUAAAUAUACAAGUGUUGAUCCAGAAGUUUUGAUUAAAGGAAAUAGUUACCGUAGGGAUAACAGCAUAAUCUUUUUUGAGAGCCCAUAUCGAAAAAAAGGUUUGUGACCUCGAUGUUGGACCAGAAUAUCCUAAAGAUGCAGCAGUCUUUAAGGGUUGGUCUGUUCGACCAUUAAAAUUCUACGUGAUCUGAGUUCAGACCGGCGUGAGCCAGGUCAGUUUCUAUCUUCAAUUAUUUAAAUAGAUUUAGUACGAAAGGACCAGUCUAUUGUAAAAUUUACUGAAAUUUGAAGAAAUAUAAUAAAAUUUUAAGUAAGUAAUUAUAUAAUUAAA
rnacentral:rRNA from 1 species